rnacentral:lncRNA from 1 species
UCUCUGAUGCCGAAGCUGAAUCAAGUAACUGCUUUGAAAAUACCAGCAACAGAGAAACUCUUCCAAGUUUCUCGACUUCGCUGCCCAAAGCCACCUGAACUCCAUUCUUUUCGAGAUUCAACAGCUUCCUUCCGUUAUCCAGCAACCGACAAAAGACAUUCAGCUUAAUCUUAUUCACCGGCACCUUAACUGCAGACUUCUCUAGCACCGAAAUGAAGGGCUUCAGCAUCAAAUCCAGUGUCUCCACAGCAAGCGCGAGGAACUCUCUCAUCUCAUCCAAGAAUACCUCGGCCACAUGGUAGCUGACGCC